CUGGCUGUUGGGGUGGAGGCAGCGGCAGAACUGUGUUCUGGAAGAUGGGAACAGCUGCGGUUACCGACAUUUUGCUCCUGUACGUGCGAGAAGGCCGGUUUCGGAUCGAGGAGAGGACGCUGACGGCUUUCCAGUGGCUGUACUCGCCCCACCAGCACCGCAUCGUCAGCCGGGCCGACCUGGGCUCGCCCAGCAGGAUCGACAAGACGAUGCUCGCCAGCCUGAAGAUCAAGUGACAGGAGCUGGUG